CACGUGGGAACGUGCCUUUUGGUUCGGAAUAGCUCCUGGAAACGGGUGGUAAUGCCGAAUGUGCCCUUCGGGGGAAAGAUUUAUCGCCAUUAGAGCGGCCCGCGUCUGAUUAGCUAGUUGGUGAGGUAAAGGCUCACCAAGGCUACGAUCAGUAGCUGGUCUGAGAGGAUGACCAGCCACAUUGGGACUGGGACACGGCCCAAACUCCUACGGGAGGCAGCAGUGGGGAAUCUUGCGCAAUGGGCGAAAGCCUGACGCAGCCAUGCCGCGUGAAUGAUGAAGGUCUUAGGAUUGUAAAAUUCUUUCACCGGGGACGAUAAUGACGGUACCCGGAGAAGAAGCCCCGGCUAACUUCGUG
rnacentral:rRNA from 1 species